rnacentral:rRNA from 1 species
UACGUAGGGUGCGAGCGUUAUCCGGAAUUAUUGGGCGUAAAGGGUGCGUAGGCGGCAUGAUAAGUUAUUGGCGGGAAAUCGAGGCUCAACCUCGUGGAAACUAAUAAUACUGUUUUGCUUGAGUACAGGAGAGGUUAACGGAACUCCAUGUGGAGCGGUAAAAUGUGUAGAUAUAUGGAAGAACAUCAAUAACGGCGAAGGCAGUUAACUAUUCUGUUACUGACGUUAAGGCACGAAAGCGUGGGGAGCAAAACGG